GAUCAAGAGAGCAGCUGCUAAAAUACCAUUAUAUAGCAGCAAACAGAUAUUUGAAGCUGCUGGUGCCUCUGGAGUCCCAUGGACAUCAAGGUGUAGAGUCCUCCAUAGCAUAAACCUUCUAUUCGGCCACCACUAACCAAUGCUCACAAGAAGAAAGGGGUGCAUUGGGCAGAAAAAUACAUGAAGAUAUUUUUAUAACAGUCCUGUUCACUGAGGAGGGCCGUGCAACCCUGAAUGGUCCAGAUGGAUGGAGUAGUGGAU